AGUUCUACCAGCUGUUCUGUAAAACGAUGAAGUCAACGAAGACGUAAAAGCCUGCUGCUUUCAGUUAGAAAAGUGAGAAGUCAGGUUAGCAAUAAAAACCCUCAUGAAAGCUCAGAAACCGUGUUUCCUAUCCUGCACCCCAUGACAAUACAGCAGCCACUAAAUACUGCAGCUUAUUUUGGGAAGUGUGUCAUGCGCUCCAGUUAUAUAUAGAAAACAGCAGAUUAGGUGGUGCCCUGUUUCUUUCAAGACCCUCAUGAGAUUUAAGGGACCAGGUAUGAGUCUAGCACCCAAGCGCAGGAGCAUGUUGGACUAAAUGGGUAAGUAGAGAAGAGAAGAAAUGGAAUUUCUCACACUCAGCAAAGCAGAGAACAGCAGAGAGUGAGGAUCUGGAGCAGCUUACAGAAAUAGAAAGCUGGUACCAUCCCUCCCCCUUCCUUCCCGAAUGAAACCUACUUCCAUCAAACUUCAAUAACACUGCAACUAAGAGAGCAUGUAGCGUCGUGCUUCAAAGCAGAACUAUUCUGGUGAGAUUUAAAAGUCACAGUAAGUAUCAAAUCAGAAAGAAAAUCAAGGAGUGGCACAAGAGACUGCUAGGUGUUGUUGAAGGUGGUUUUUUCCACCCACGGGGAGGAGGAGAGAUGAGACAACCUGCAGCAGAGAGUGAUCUGCUGCCUUGAAGGAAAGAACAAUGGACCACACAGACAAUAGACAUUCCCAACAAACUCAGCAGCCCACACAAUGGCUGGAAGUAUCCAAGUGCCUGCUGCAAAGAAAUGAAGUGUUUAACCCUUUGACAUGGGGAAAGAGUCACACAAAUGGCUGGGGUAGCCUUGGGCUUGUGAGUUAGCUGGUUUCUCCAGGUGGGCUGAUGGCCUCGCAUCCCCACCAGAGGUGGGGACCCCCUGGGGAAGGAGCUUCUCCCUAAGGGUAAAUUCAUCUGACUUCACACUAAGGUUAGGAAUCACAAGUAUGGAUUGUGGUGUAGCUGUUUGUACAGGAGGGUGUGUAUCUCACAGAAAGGCCUUGGAGAGAGCAAGGCAAACAUCUUGACAUUUAUAUUUAAAAAUCAUAUUAAAAAACAGCGUCGGUGAUCUGCAAAGUGCUUUACUCCUGGGGAAGGUUGCACUGCUGUUGGUUGUGGUGGCUUAUCUUCACAGCGCCUCCAUCCAGACGCACCCAGCGUUGGAGUCGAGGUGGGACACUGAAGUCAGGCUGGAAACUCCAGUUCAGCUCAUGGGUUCAGACUGAAGCAGGUACUCAAGUCAUGCACAGCCAUCUACCCUACUUCCCAGUGUCGCCAGUCUACCUACUCACUGUGCUACGUAUUGGACCAGUACAUAGGAAGAUCUAAUCACUGACCCAGGAACCGGCAACUCAAGGGCCAGAUGUCAAAACAAGAUUUUCCCAGGCCUACAGAAAUGAUUGCCAGCCACAUCUAUCUGCUCACUUUGAAAUAUUAUUCCUUCCAAGCUAGAACACAAAGCAGAAAUACAGAGUACACAGAGAAAGCUUCACCUUAAAACACAGCCUGGCAAUCACUAAUAUGUGAUGCAAAGCAUUGUCUACCUUAAUCCAGAUUAUGUGGAAGAGAAUAUGCUCAUUGUCAAUGAGUUGCACAAGCCUAUAAAACCCCAGCUAAAGACUGUUCUUUAUUGCAUGAGAAGAUUAGCAUGCCUAAACACAGAAGGCACUCCUAUUUUCAGUAGCUGUACAUGUAAAACCAAGGAAGGGUGUGGGAACCAGGAGAAGGCACAGCAACAUGAAAGGAAGAAAGAUUUUCAUGUGUUCCUAGAAUGAAGGUCAUAAAAGCCCUCCCAGCUGUCUUCUAUCUUAAACAGUUUCUUCAUAAUUACCAGAGCCUUGGUCCCAGAGAUCCAUGACACAGGGGCUCAUGUGGCAUGCACGUGUUUUUUCAGGGUCUCCAAGUCUGACCAAGCGAGUAAAACUGAUCUUUGCCAGAGACUAACAAAUGCAUCCUGAAUGUAAGCUGCAAUGUUUCCACCAGGACAGAGAAAUAACGCAGCCAUUGGUGAAGUGGUGGAAAAAGUGUCCACAAAAGAAUUAGUGACUUGGGAAGCAACUUCUGCUUGGGAAGAACAAGACAGACCAGAAAAAGAAAUGAAGACAUCUGCCACAAAACUGAAUUAAAAGGUUACCAUGAAAGACAGAGACAGAAUGCAUCAGAAACACAAUAGCUCUGUAGAAACAAAAGAGACAAUAAACUGGCUUCUGCUCUGAAAACAGGAAUGCUGAGAAAAGUUCCAAAACACUGAACUGGAAUGAAGCUGUUCUGAGGUUUCCCAAAGCAUCUGCUGACCUUGCUGCAUUUCAAGGGUUAUUUUUCUUUCUUUGAUUGUUUGGUUUUUAAUAUCAUUUGCCUUCAUUGCUGUAAACUUAUUUAAACCUUGCGGGGAGUCACCUUACAGGCAAUAUCCUGCAGAUUCCCAGUGAUCCUUGGCAUACUUUUAGAAGGUCACAAAAGACAACUGUUGUCAGUAGAUCUUACUUCACCAUACUUAUAUUUUUGAAUUUUUGAUUUGAAGAAGGUUGGAAACAAACACCAUAUGAAAGUUUGCUUGUGUAUGUAUGUUCAGCGAGAUGUUUUGUAGGCUGUUAGAUAUAUUUCCUUAAGAGUUCAUUACUACUAAUAAUCCAAAUUUGAAAACAUGUGUAUACGGUACAUCAAAGUAAAUCACCCUUCUACACUAA